GACGAACGCUGGCGGCGUGCUUAACACAUGCAAGUCGAACGAUGAACCCGGAGCUUGCUCCGGUGGAUUAGUGGCGAACGGGUGAGUAACACGUGAGUAACCUGCCCUUGACUCUGGGAUAACUGCGGGAAACUGUAGCUAAUACCGGAUACGACCCUCGGAGGCAUCUCCUGGGGGUGGAAAGAAUUUCGGUCAAGGAUGGACUCGCGGCCUAUCAGCUCGUUGGUGAGGGAAAGGCUCACCAAGGCGACGACGGGUAGCCGGCCUGAGAGGGUGACCGGCCACACUGGUACUGGGAGACGGCCCAGACUCCUACGGGAGGCAGCAGUGGGGAAUAUUGCACGAAGGGCGCAAGCCUGAUGCAGCAACGCCGCGUGAGGGAUGACGGACUUCGGGUUGUAAACCUCUUUUAGCAGGGAAGAAGCGAAAGUGACGGUACCUGCAGAAAAAGCACCGGCUAACUACGUGCCAGCCGCCGCGGUAA
rnacentral:rRNA from 1 species